GCACUGCUGAGGAGUCCAAUACUCGGACGAAACGGCCGUUCAGUGC
rnacentral:hammerhead_ribozyme from 1 species